rnacentral:rRNA from 1 species
GAUGAACGCUGGCGGCGUGCCUAAUACAUGCAAGUAGAACGCUGAAGGAAGGAGCUUGCUCUUUCCGGAUGAGUUGCGAACGGGUGAGUAACGCGUAGGUAACCUGCCUGGUAGCGGGGGAUAACUAUUGGAAACGAUAGCUAAUACCGCAUAACAGUAGAUGUUGCAUGAUAUCUACUUAAAAGGUGCAAUUGCACCACUACCAGAUGGACCUGCGUUGUAUUAGCUAGUUGGUGAGGUAACGGCUCACCAAGGCGACGAUACAUAGCCGACCUGAGAGGGUGAUCGGCCACACUGGGACUGAGACACGGCCCAGACUCCCACGGGAGGCAGCAGUAGGGAAUCUUCGGCAAUGGACGGAAGUCUGACCGAGCAACGCCGCGUGAGUGAAGAAGGUUUUCGGAUCGUAAAGCUCUGUUGUAAGAGAAGAACGAGUGUGAGAGUGGAAAGUUCACACUGUGACGGUAUCUUACCAGAAAGGGACGGCUAACUACGUG